rnacentral:pre_miRNA from 1 species
AGGCAAGAUGUUGGCAUAGCUGAUAGUCGAAAAUUAUUCAGUUAUGCUAUAUGUUGCCAGA